CAGGGCUUGACAUCCUACUAACGAACCAGAGAUGGAUUAGGUGCCCUUCGGGGAAAGUAGAGACAGGUGGUGCAUGGUUGUCGUCAGCUCGUGUCGUGAGAUGUUGGGUUAAGUCCCGCAACGAGCGCAACCCCUAUUGUUAGUUGCUACGCAAGAGCACUCUAGCGAGACUGCCGUUGACAAAACGGAGGAAGGUGGGGACGACGUCAAAUCAUCAUGCCCCUUACGUCCUGGGCCACACACGUACUACAAUGGCGGCCAACAAAGAGAGGCGAGACCGCGAGGUGGAGCAAAUCUCAAAAAGCCGUCCCAGUUCGGAUCGCAGGCUGCAACCCGCCUGCGUGAAGUGGGAAUCGCUAGUAAUCGCGGAUCAGCAUGCCGCGGUGAAUACGUUCCC
rnacentral:rRNA from 1 species